rnacentral:rRNA from 1 species
CCUACGGGUGGCUGCAGUGGGGAAUAUUGGACAAUGGGCGAAAGCCUGAUCCAGCCAUGCCGCGUGUGUGAAGAAGGCCUUCGGGUUGUAAAGCACUUUCAGUGGGGAAGAAAGCCUUGGGGCUAAUACCCUCGAGGAAGGACAUCGCCCACAGAAGAAGCACCGGCUAACUCCGUGCCAGCAGCCGCGGUAAUACGGAGGGUGCGAGCGUUAAUCGGAAUUACUGGGCGUAAAGCGCGCGUAGGCGGUCUGAUAAGCCGGUUGUGAAAGCCCCGGGCUCAACCUGGGAACGGCAUCCGGAACUGUCAGGCUAGAGUGCAGGAGAGGAAGGUAGAAUUCCCGGUGUAGCGGUGAAAUGCGUAGAGAUCGGGAGGAAUACCAGUGGCGAAGGCGGCCUUCUGGACUGACACUGACGCUGAGGUGCGAAAGCGUGGGUAGCAAACAGGAUUAGAUACCCGUGUAGUC